UACGUAGGGUGCGAGCGUUAAUCGGAAUUACUGGGCGUAAAGCGUGCGUAGGCGGUUGCCUAAGUCCGUUGUGAAAGCCCCGGGCUUAACCUGGGAAUGGCAGUGGAAACUAGGCGACUGGAAUCUGGCAGAGGGAGGUGGAAUGCCACGUGUAGCAGUGAAAUGCGUAGAGAUGUGGCGGAACACCGAUGGCGAAGGCAGCCUCCUGGGUCGAGAUUGACGCUGAGGGCACGAAAGCGUGGGGAGCAAACAGG
rnacentral:rRNA from 1 species